rnacentral:lncRNA from 10 species
ACACUUGGGAACCAGCCAGCCUGAAAGUCCCUGUUCUCAGGUUCUGGGACCAGCACUGCAUUCUUAGAAGCCUGGGUCCGGCCGGGGCCCCUGAUGUUGUGGCUGGGGGUCCACAGACCUGGGUUCUCAGCCCCGCUUUGCCACUUCCUCGCCCUGAAGCCUCAGCCAAGUUGCUUCCCCGUCUGGACCUGUUCCUCGUCUGUUAAAUGGGGUGAUCACCCACCACCCGCCGCCUCAGAGGGACAGUGAAAAUGGGGAGUCCUGAAAGGCCAGAGCUGGAAAGUCCCCGAAGAGUCCUUACAGAGGAGGCAGGUGGGAAAGGAGGGAGAUUGUCCCCGGUCCCACAGCCAGUGGGUAGCAGGGCCGUGAGGUUCUGGAAAGAGCACUGCAUUGGGAGGUAGCACUUGGCCCAAGCCUCACUCAGCUCCUUCCUAGCUAUGGGACCUUGGCCAAGUCAACCAAGGCCCCUGGGCCUUUUCCUACAAGACAGCAAACCUCGUCUCCCAGGGCUCCUGGGGCGCGCAGAUGCUCCGUACUGUGUUGUGAACAGGAAGGGCUUCUUGCUGGAGGUAGACUGGAACUCAGAUCUCAAGGGUUCCCGUUCUUUGCUGCCCCUCCCCUGAACUCCAUAUGCAAGGAGUGGGGUCUGGCACCUCCUGAGGGGAGGACUCCUCUUGCUUGCCUCUACCCCUGCCUCCCCCCAUUGGGUGAGAGGUGGCAAAUCUCUUUCCUUGAUUCCACUGAGUCACUGGAGGCCGUGCUCUUGGAGGAGCUGCGUGUGAAGUCACCUCUCCCACAUCAGCAGCCAGAGACGCCAUUGCCACUGACACUGUGGCACCCAAACCCCCGUCUACUGCAGGCUGGCAGAGCCCUCCACAGACCCCGGAGCCCAAACAGCCUUUGUGGUGCAGCCAAGGGGUAAGGGGGAGGCUGGGCGGGGCCCGGAGCAGCCCUCCAGCAGCAGGCUUCCUGAUGCUGUUGGCACCACUGCCCAGUCCCAGCUCAGGCUUCUGGAGAGUGGGCCUCAGGAUGGCAGAGCUGGCAGAGGAGGUAGAGGCUAGCCCAUCGUGGGGACAGAAUGAGAGUCCAUGGACCUAAAGAAGAGCUGGGAACCGCAAAUCCCAUGUGGAAUUAUGGGAUAUGUGUGUGUGUGUAUGUAUGUGUGUGUGUGUGUAUGUAUGUGUGUGUGUGUGUGUGUGUGUUCAUAUACACACAUUAUCUGCAU